GACGAACGCUGGCGGCGUGCUUAACACAUGCAAGUCGAACGAAGUGGCGAACGGGUGAGUAACGCGUAAUCAACCUGCCCUUCAGAGGAGGACAACCGUUUGAAACGACUGCUAAUAUCGCAUACUGAAGGAGGGGAUUGCGUCUGAUUAGCUAGUUGGAGGGGUAACGGCCCACCAAGGCGAUGAUCAGUAGCCGGUCUGAGAGGAUGAACGGCCACAUUGGGACUGAGACACGGCCCAGACUCCUACGGGAGGCAGCAGUGGGGAAGCUUCCGCAAUGGACGAAAGUCUGACGGAGCAACGCCGCGGGAGUGAUGACGGCCUUCGGGUUGUAAAGCUCUGUUAAUCGGGACGCGGUACCGGAAUAGAAAGCCACGGCUAACUACGUGCCAGCAGCCGCGGUAAUAC
rnacentral:rRNA from 1 species